GACGAACGCUGGCGGCGUGCUUAACACAUGCAAGUCGAACGGACCGGCCCUGCUUUUGUGGGGUGCUCGAGUGGCGACCGGGUGAGUAACCCGUGAGUUACCUGUCCUUGACUUUGGGAUAACCUCAGGCAACUGGGGCUAAUACCGGAUAGGACCUCCUGCUGAAUGGUGGGGGUUGGAAUGUUUCGGCGGUUGGGGAUGGACUCGCGGCGUAUCAGCUUGUUGGUGGGGUAGUGGCUUACCAAGGCUUUGACAGGUAGCCGGCCUGCGAGGGUGACCGGCCAAAUUGGGACUGGGAUACGGCCCAGACUCCUACGGGAGGCAGCAGUGGGGAAUAUUGCACAAUGGGCGGAAGCCUGAUGCAGCAACGCCGCGUGCGGGAUGACGGCCUUCGGGUUGUAAACCGCUUUCGCCUGUGACGAAGCGUGAGUGACGGUAAUGGAUAAAGAAGCACCGGCUAACUACGUG
rnacentral:rRNA from 1 species